ACGCCUACGGGGGGCAGCAGUGGGGAAUAUUGGGCAAUGGAGGAAACUCUUACCCAGCAAUGCCGCGUGAAUGAAGAAGGUCUUCGGAUUGUAAAGUUCUUUAAUUGGGGACGAAAAAAAUGACGGUACCCAAGGAAUAAGCCCCGGCUAACUACGUGCCAGCAGCCGCGGUAAUACGUAGGGGGCAAGCGUUGUUCGGAAUGACUGGGCGUAAAGGGUGCGUAGACGGGAAAUUAAGUUAGUUGUGAAAUCCCUCGGCUUAACUGAGGAACUGCAACUAAAACUGAUUUUCUUGAGUACUGGAG
rnacentral:rRNA from 1 species